GGUUAACCGGUUAAAACUGAACGGUUAACGGUUAAACAAAAAUAGGGAAAAUCCACAGCCCUAGCUGUUACUAUAGUUUAAAACUGUUUAUCGUAUACACUUGACAUAUUUUGGGAUAUAUAGGUUAAGUUUUAAAUACUAAAAUAUACGCUCUAAUCCGCGGUUCAGUACUGUUUUGUUUGUUUCUUGGGCCGUUUGGUCGCCAAGCGCCAUUUAAUAACUACAGUACAGUGAGCAUAUACGAUUAGAAUACGCUGAAUGGAAUUUAACGUAAAUCCGUCAUAGCGGGAAAACGAUUGUUAUUAUACAUAGCAUGAUUAAAUGCAAUCAACAUUACAAUGCAUGUAAAGGAACUCGGUGACAAGGAACCACGCGCAUAAGCAUUACAAAACAUCCUGAUUGUGUUUUCUUACAACGGACUAUGGGAUCCGUGUGAAUACGCCUUUAUAAUUCUUUGAAUAUUCUUUGUUUACUACCGAAUAAUAAUAAUAAUACCUUUUAUUUGUCUCUUUGAUUACGGUAGCGAAGAUUUGGAAAUAUUUUAAACGCAAAGACAGGAUAUAGUUGGAAGAAAAUAAGCGUGGUCGCUAUACACCCAACGGACAAUGCCGGGACGAGAAAAUUGAAUAAAGGUGUGCCAUUUCCCCCACCUCUAUAGUUCAGUAUUUCGUAUACACCUUAGCUAUACAAGUCCGAUAAACACGUAAACUUAUACGUGACUAAUGCGUUUCGCUGCUAUGUUAGUAUAGUAGGGUUUGGGAAGAGUAUACGGUACACCAUUUUAUUCUGUUUCCCGGCUUAUUUGGUAGUAAACAAAAAUAUUCAAAAAAUUAUAAAACUGCAUUUUCGCAACUGUUAUAAACGAUCAGGAUUUUUAGAUAUUAUGUACUUAAGGUCGCCCGUCUUCUUCCCACCAUAUACUAUACAUUAAGAUUAAGCUGCAUUUACGUUUUAUUGUGGAAUUUUUAACAAACUUUCUACUAAUAAUAAGUAUUCUACAAAGCUUUAGAAGUUCAGAACAUAAGGUUCGCCCGGCGCCGUGGCGUAGUGGUUAGCGCACCUGCCUCUAACCCAUAAUGGGUUCAAGGCUCGUCGCUGCUAUCAUUGUGGGCGUAUGCGUCCUUGAGCAAGACAUCUAACGGCAAUUGCUCCAACCCAGUGGUCACUAAUGGGUUGUCCAAAUUAUCAGCCAAACAUGAAAAUGAAAUCAAAUAUCCAAAAAAAAAUAAUCACCCACAAAGUAACAUACUUGGUAACUCGUAAGCUGGCGCGAGGUGUACACCCGUGUUAUAACGACUGUCGUUUUCCGGCCACGCGAGGAUAAAGUAAGUUACAUUCAUUCAUUCAAGGUUUCAAAUUUAUGUUUGUAUUUGUUAAAUAGAAGGCACAAAUUGACGUUUAUUAAAAAUGCUCGUUUAGAAUCGUGAGGGUAUAUGGUUACAUUCCGAAAUAUUAUUUGUUCACUAACAAAUGGAAUGAUAAAAGAGAAUAAAAACAUCAUGGACUAUCUUAGUAAAACCUAUGUAUAUUCUUCUUUUCCCACCUUUUUUGUUAUUGCAACGAAACAUACUCAUAUAUAAUCUAUGUUAUAAAGACAUGAUGUUACUUUUAUGCUAGUAAAAAUUGAUUGAAUUACAGCUGAUAUUAUUUUAUAAAUUAUGUUACUGAGAAUGAAUUUAAGAAGUAGGAGACUCGCUGGUACAGCUAUACUGGGUUUCUUUAUAUUUGGAUUUUGUUACAUGUUUGAAGCCAGUCUUGUGGAAAUCUUGGGCGUGAGACCAAUUCAUCAUAAAGUUGUCUCACGUGAGAUAUUGUUUCGUGAUUCGCAAACUUAUGAAGAACCAGCAAUGCUGACGUUGGAUGACAUUUUCAUAACCGUGAAAACGAGCAAGCAGUUUCAUUGCAGUAGACUUGGUGUUAUUGUAAGCACUUGGUUUGCUGAAGCUAAAAAUCAAACAUACUUUAUAACUGAUGGCGCCGAUGCGGAAUUAAACCAUACCACUAACGGUCAUGUUGUACCAUCAAAGUGCGCCACUGACCAUUCAUUAAGUGCUCUUAGUUGUAAAUUAGGCGUCGAGUACGAUACGUUCAUGAAGAGUGACAAAAAGUGGUGGUGUCGCUUCGACGAUGAUAAUUACGUGAACGUGAAACUUCUUGUUAAGUUUCUAAGAGAAUUUAACUGGAAAAAUGAUUUGUAUAUUGGACGUAGAAGUCGCACAGAGCCAUUCAAGGGAAACUUUCACGGUGAACCAGUCGAUAUUUUCUUUACUACCGGAGGUGCCGGUGUUUGCAUUUCUUCUCCUCUUGCGAAUAAAAUGAAACCGUGGGCCGCAUCGGGUGAAUUUCUACGCACCUCCCAAGCCCUGGGCCAUUCAGAUGACUGUACAGUCGGAUUCAUCAUUAUUAACCGGUUGAAAGUGAAUCUAACCGAAUCGAUUCUCUUCCACUCGCACAUGGAGCUUCUGUCAGAUAUUCCCAUCACGACUUUCCGGGAGCAAAUUACAUUCAGUCAUCGUGGGAAAAACAUCAUCAACAUUACACCAAACAACACGGACACUCCUGUAUUUGAUUUCAAAUCAGAUCCCACAAGAUUUUUGUCUCUACAUUGUCAUAUUCAUCCUGCUUACCAAAUUUGCAAACAGGCAACCAGCAGUAAAGUUUAGAACGAGUAUAGAGUGUUGGAUUUUGAAACCAGAACUAUGGUUGGUUCAGAUGCUGACAAAACAAUUGUAAAGCAAUCUAUAGAUUUUAUGUCUCGCAAUUAAUGGAAUGUUGUUCUAUACCGGAUUAUUCAUUGAGAUUCAAGGUUGGCUAAAAAUAUCAACAAUUAAUAGAUUGUGUAGCCUACUCCCGUAUUUUGUGGUAACGGGUCAUUCGAGGGCUACGACCAACAUUCAUUGGCACACACAUGCCGCAGUGCAUUGUCAUUUAUAGCAUAUGUAUAUGGUAGAAACUUUAGCUGUAUACCCGCCCAGCGUAAAUUGUGUAAUCGACUAAUGUUUAGUAGGGUGGGGAAGAUAGGAAACCUUUUCAUUCUAUUUUCUCGUCCCAUUUGAUAGUAAACAAAAAACAUUCAAAGAAUUAUAAAACUGUAUCCUCGCGACUCCCAUCGACCGUUGUUAAUUGUUUAAAACACGAUCAGGAUGUUUGGAUAUCAUGUGCUAAAGGUGUCCCAUCUCCCCCCACUCCACUAUAUGUAUGUAAAAAAUUAUAGCUGUAACCGCGCAGCAUAAAUUGUGUAAUCAACUAAUGUUUAGUAGGGUGGAGGAAGAUAGUGACACCUUAUUAGCACAUAAUAUCUAUUUUCUUCAUGCUUAUAUCUCAGUGUUUUUUACAAAACUAAAACUAGUUUUAUGAGACAAAAUCAAACUGUACGAAA